UGGGGAAUAUUGGACAAUGGGCGCAAGCCUGAACCAGCCAUGCCGCGUGAGUGAUGAAGGCCCUAGGGUUGUAAAGCUCUUUCACCGGUGAAGAUAAUGACGGUAAUCGGAGAAGAAGCCCCGGCUAACUUCGUGCCAGCAGCCGCGGUAAUACGAAGGGGGCUAGCGUUGUUCGGAUUUACUGGGCGUAAAGCGCACGUAGGCGGACUUUUAAGUCAGGGGUGAAAUCCCGGGGCUCAACCCCGGAACUGCCUUUGAUACUGGAAGUCUUGAGUAUGGUAGAGGUGAGUGGAAUUCCGAGUGUAGAGGUGAAAUUCGUAGAUAUUCGGAGGAACACCAGUGGCGAAGGCGGCUCACUGGACCAUUACUGACGCUGAGGUGCGAAAGCGUGGGGAGCAAACAGG
rnacentral:rRNA from 1 species